GAUGAACGCUGGCGGCAGGCUUAAUACAUGCAAGUCGAACGGUAACAUGUCGGAGCAAUCUGAUGAUGACGAGUGGCGCACGGGUGCGUAACGCGUAUGCAACCUACCCAUAACCGGAACAUAACGUUGAGAAAUCGGCGCUAAUAUUCCAUGUGUAUAUUUUGUGGCAUCAUGGAAUAUAUAAAGAUUAAUUGGUUAUGGAUGGGCAUGCGUAUCAUUAGCUAGUUGGUGGGUAACGGCCUACCAAGGCUGCGAUGAUUAGGGGUUCUGAGAGGAUAACCCCCCACACUGGAACUGAGACACGGUCCAGACUCCUACGGGAGGCAGCAGUAGGGAAUAUUGGGCAAUGGAGGCAACUCUGACCCAGCCAUGCCGCGUGAAGGAGACGGUCCUAUGGAUUGUAAACUUCUUUUAAUCAUAGAGUAACCGCAGGGACGUGUCCCUGCCUGCAAGUAUAUGAUGAAUAAGC
rnacentral:rRNA from 1 species